GGUAAUGAACUCAAGGACGGUAGUCGAGACAGAUAUAGGACAGAGCAUUGAAAUGCCUGACGAAGAUGUAGAUCAUGAUGAGAGCAUUGAAUUGCCACCUGAUGAUUGCGAUCUGUUUAUAGGGAAUUGGGUUUAUGAUAAGGGAAAAGGCUCAAAUAUGCCAUCGAACUUUUAGAAAAGGCUCAUUUAUGCCAUCCGUUAAAAGUUUGGCUCAUUUAUGCCAUUGCUGUUAAAGAAAAGGCUCAUCCAUGCCAUUUUUUUUAACUCCGGUUUUGCAAAACCAUUUUUUACACACCAAACAUGGUUUAACACUUUUCUAUUGGUGUUUUUGGAUCAAAUGUACAUUUUUUGCUUGUUUUUCUUUAAAAACACCAAGAACACAUGAAGAACAUAAACAACUCCAAAAUUUUCAACAUCUUCAAUUCUUCACGAAAUCAUCUCAAAUUUCGGCUACACCAUUAAUUUCUUUUUUAAAAAAAAACAAAAAUUCUAAAAUCAUUUGUAGAGUUCAAAAAAUUCACCCAUAUUUAAAAAUAUAUAUUCCAAAAAACGAAAAUCAGUCCCAAAAAUUGCUUUGAUUCUUGUUUUUAACAUUAGAUCUUUGUUGACUAGUGUUUUUUGAGUUUAUGUUCAAAAUUUCAAAUGAUUUGAAGUUUUGGAGAAUCUACCAUUAAAGAAUGUUCAAGUUUUGAAACUUUGAAGAAAUUUCAAUUGGGUCUUGUUGAGUUAGGUUGAAUUCGAGCUCAAAAGAAAUUGAGUUUUGGUAUCUAGCUCGGAGCGAAACUACUCUUGAAAUUUGAGGCGAUUCAUGAAGAAUUGAAGAUGUUGAAAAUUUUGGAGUUGUUUAUGUUCUUCAUGUGUUCUUGGUGUUCUUAAGGAUGUAGAAGCAAAAAAUGUACAUUUGAUCCAAAAAAACACCAAUAGAAAAGUGUUAAACCAUGUUUGGUGUGUAAAAAAUGGUUUUGCAAAACCGGAGUUAAAAAAAUGGCAUGGAUGAGCCUUUUCUUUAACAGCAAUGGCAUAAAUGAGCCAAACUUUUAACGGAUGGCAUAAAUGAGCCUUUUCUAAAAGUUCGAUGGCAUAUUUGAGCCUUUUCCCAAAUGAUAAUGUAAGUCACCCAAUUUACAAAGAAGAUCAAUGUGAGUUCCUCACUUCUCAAGUUACUUGCUUGAGGAAUGGAAGACAGGACUCUAUGUAUCAGAACUGGAGAUGGCAACCCAGAGAC
rnacentral:lncRNA from 1 species